rnacentral:tRNA from 1 species
GUAGAUAUAGUUUCAACCAAAACAUUAGAUUGUGGUUCUAAAAACAGAGGUUAAAAUCCUCUUAUCCACC